rnacentral:rRNA from 1 species
GAUGUACGCUGGCUACAGGCUUAACACAUGCAAGUCGAGGGGAAACGGCAUUGAGUGCUUGCACUGAAUGGACGUCGACCGGCGCACGGGUGAGUAACGCGUAUCCAACCUUCCCGUUACUGCGGGGUAACCUGCCGAAAGGCAGACUAAUACCGCAUGUUCUUCGAUGACGGCAUCAGAUUCGAAGCAAAGAUCCGUCGGUAACGGAGGGGGAUGCGUCUGAUUAGCUAGUUGGCGGGGCGACGGCCCACCAAGGCGACGAUCAGUAGGGGUUCUGAGAGGAAGGUCCCCCACAUUGGAACUGAGACACGGUCCAAACUCCUACGGGAGGCAGCAGUGAGGAAUAUUGGUCAAUGGGCGGAAGCCUGAACCAGCCAAGUAGCGUGCAGGAUGACGGCCCUACGGGUUGUAAACUGCUUUUAUGCGGGGAUAAAGUGAGGGACGCGUCCCUUUUUGCAGGUACCGCAUGAAUAAGGACCGGCUAAUUCCGUG